CAGCCGCCACGGGAAUACAGAGGGUGCAAGCGUUAAUCGGAUUUACUGGGCGUAAAGGGCGCGUAGGUGGUUAUUUAAGUGAGAUGUGAAAUCCCCGGGCUUAACCUGGGAACUGCAUCUUAUACUGGGUAACUGGAGUGCAAUAGAGGGUAGUGGAAUUUCCGGUGUAGCGGUGAAAUGCGUAGAUAUCGGAAGGGACACCAGUGGCGAAGGCGGCUACCUGGAUUGACACUGACACUGAGGCGCGAGAGCGUGGGGAGCAAACAGGAUUAGAUACCCGUGUAGUCCCUGUCUCUUAUAC
rnacentral:rRNA from 1 species